rnacentral:lncRNA from 1 species
AAAGACACAUGCCCCCCCACACACACAGAGGCCCCCCACACACACCUACAUACGCCUCAUACACAUAGACACAAAGACGCAUGCCCCACACACACACCUACAUACGCCUCAUACACAUAGACACAAAGACGCAUGCCCCACACAUCAUACACAUAGACACAAAGACACAUGCCCCCCACACACCUACAUAUGUCUCAUACACAUAGACACAAAGACACAUGCCCCCCACACACACCUACAUAUGUCUCAUACACAUAAACACAAAGACACAUGCCCACACAUACACACCUACAUAUGUCUCAUACACAUAGACACAAAGAUGCAUGCCCCCCACACACACCUACAUACACCUCAUACACAUAGACACAAAGACACAUGCCUCCCCACACCCACAGAGGCCCCCACACCUACAUACACCUCACCACAUAUGCCUCAUACACAUAGACACAAAGACACAUGCCACCCCCCACACAGAGGCCCCCAUACCUACAUACACCUCAUACACAUAUACACAAAGACACAUGCCCCCCCCCACACACACACAGACACUCACUAAUUAGCCCAAGAACGCCCAGGCUGUCCGUACAGAGAAGGUGCAGGCCUUUUGCCUGUGAGCUUUGGCUUUCCGGAUACCAACUACUAUCCAUGCUACCCUGGAAGAUGAAGGGACACAAUGAGCUCCCCAUGAAUAUAGAAGAAGGGGGAGCCCUCCCUCUCCUACUCCACUC